rnacentral:rRNA from 1 species
AAUUCAAGCGUUAAGAAGGGCAGCUGGUGAAUGCCUUGGCAAUCAGAGGCGAUGAAGGACGUGGCAGGCUGCGAUAAGCUGCGGUUAGGUGUCAACACCCGUUAACCCGCAGAUUUCCGAAUGGGGAAACCCACUCAUUUAUGAGUAUCUCACAGUGAAUACAUAGCUGUGUGAAGCAAACCCGGAGAAGUGAAACAUCUCAGUACCCGGAGGAAAAGAAAUCAACCGAGAUUCCGCUAGUAGUGGCGAGCGAACGCGGAUCAGCCCAAUGGUCUUUAUUUAAUAACGAGAAGUGUCUGGAAAGUCACACCAAAGUAGGUGAUAGUCCUGUAUCGGUAAAAAUUAUAAAGAUCUUCGAGUAGGACGGAACACGUGAAAUUCUGUCUGAAUAUAGGGGGACCAUCCUCUAAGGCUAAAUACUCCUGAUUGACCGAUAGUGAACAAGUACCGUGAGGGAAAGGUGAAAAGAACCCCGAUGAGGGGAGUGAAACAGACCUGAAACCAGUUGCCUACAAGCAGUCGGAGCACUUUAUAGUGUGACGGCGUACCUUUUGUAUAAUGGGUCCGCGAGUUACUCUUGCAUGCGAGCUUAAGCCGUUAGGUGGAGGCGUAGCGAAAGCGAGUCUGAAUAGGGCGCGCAGUAUGUGGGAGUAGACCCGAAGCCCGGUGAUCUAGAUAUGAGCAGGCUGAAGUAUGGGUAACACCAUAUGGAGGGCCGAACCCACGUCUGUUGAAAAAGACGGGGAUGACUUGUGUCUAGGGGUGAAAGGCCAAUCAAACCGGGUUAUAGCUGGUUCUCCGCGAAAUCUAUUUAGGUAGAGCGUCAUGUAUUACCCUGGGGGGUAGAGCACUGGAUGGGCUAGGGGGGCGCGAGCCUUACCAAACCUAACCAAACUCCGAAUACCCAGGAGUACAAUCAUGGCAGACACACAGCGGGUGAUAACGUCCGUUGUGGAAAGGGAAACAACCCAGACCUACAGCUAAGGUCCCCAAAUAAUGGCUAAGUGUCAAAGGAAGUAAGAGGUCCAAGACAAUCAGGAGGUUGGCUUAGAAGCAGCCACCCUUUAAAGAAAGCGUAAUAGCUCACUGAUCUAAACAAGACCUCUCGCGCCGAAGAUGUAACGGGGCUCAAGCCAUUUACCGAAGCUUAGGAUGCACUAUGUGCAUGGUAGCGGAGCAUUCUGUAAGCCUGCGAAGGGUAACCGUGAGGUUGCCUGGAGGUAUCAGAAGUGAGAAUGCGGACAUGAGUAACGAGAUGAGUGUGAGAAACACUCACGCCGAAAUCCCAAG